rnacentral:rRNA from 1 species
AGAGUUUGAUCCUGGCUCAGAACGAACGCUGGCGGCGUGGAUAAGACAUGCAAGUCGAACGGGAACUUUUUUGGUAGCAAUACUAGAGAAGUUCUAGUGGCGAACGGGUGCGUAACACGUGGGCAAUCUACCGAGAAGUGGGGGAUAGCUCGCCGAAAGGCGAAUUAAUACCGCAUGUGAUCAGAGGCGACAUCGUCUCGAAAUCAAAGCCGGGGCAACCUGGCGCUUUUUGUGGGGCCCGCGGCCUAUCAGCUUGUUGGUGAGGUAACGGCUCACCAAGGCUAUGACGGGUAGCUGGUCUGAGAGGACGACCAGUCACACUGGGACUGAGACACGGCCCAGACACCUACGGGUGGCAGCAGUCGAGAAUUUUUCUCAAUGGGGGAAACCCUGAAGGAGCGACGCCGCGUGGAGGAUGAAGGUCUUCGGGUUGUAAACUCCUGUCAUUUGGGAACAAGUGCCGGUACGUAACUGCUACCGGCUUGAUAGUACCAGAAGAGGAAGGGACGGCUAACUCUGUGCCAGCAGCCGCGGUAAUACAGAGGUCUCAAGCGUUGUUCGGAUUCAUUGGGCGUAAAGGGUGUGUAGGUGGCGCCGUAAGUGGGGUGUGAAAUUUCGGAGCCUUAACUCCGAAACUGCAUUCCAUACUGCGGUGCUUGAGGACUGGAGAGGAGACUGGAAUUUACGGUGUANCAGUGAAAUGCGUANAUUUCGUANGGAAGACCAGUG